CCUACGGGAGGCAGCAGUGAGGAAUAUUGGUCAAUGGCCGGAAGGCUGAACCAGCCAUGCCGCGUGAAGGUCAGUGCCCUAUGGGCGUUACACUUCUUUUGUGCGGGAGCAAUAAUGGUCACGUGUUGCCAGACGAGAGUACCGUACGAAUAAGCAUCGGCUAACUCCGUGCCAGCAGCCGCGGUAAUACUGGGGAUGCAAGCGUUAUCCGGAUUUGUUGGGUUUAAAGGGUGCGUAGGCGGUGAGGUAAGUCAGCGGUGAAAUGCCCCCGCUCAACGGGGUGAAGUGCAAUUGAUACUGGCUGGCUGGAAUGCUGAUGAGGUGGGAAGAAUGUGUGGUGUAGCGGUGAAAUGCAUAGAUAUCA
rnacentral:rRNA from 1 species